UUCCAGACUCCUACGGGAGGCAGCAGUGAGGAAUAUUGGUCAAUGGGCGAGAGCCUGAACCAGCCAAGUCGCGUGAAGGAUGAAGGAUCUAUGGUUUGUAAACUUCUUUUAUAUGGGAAUAAAGUGAGGAACGUGUUCCUUUUUGUAUGUACCAUAUGAAUAAGCACCGGCUAACUCCGUGCCAGCAGCCGCGGUAAUACGGAGGGUGCGAGCGUUAAUCGGAAUUACUGGGCGUAAAGCGCUCGUAGGCGGUAUGUCAAGUCAAGGGUGAAAUCCCCGCGCUCAACGUGGGAACUGCCUUUGAAACUGGCAAACUGGAGUGUGUGAGAGGAUAGUGGAAUUCCAGGUGUAGGAGUGAAAUCCGUAGAUAUCUGGAGGAACAUCAGUGGCGAAGGCGACUAUCUGGCACAUAACUGACGCUGAGGAGCGAAAGCGUAGGUAGCAAACAGGAUUAGAUACCCGUGUA
rnacentral:rRNA from 1 species